GUCACCUUUCUAGUGAAGGGCCAAGAGAGACUGAUUUAAGGCCCUGGGACAUAUGGUCCCAGACUUCUACUUCCAAAGAAGAGAGUAGAACUAUAGCAGGCUGGUGGCACAGAUGGAAAUGGUCUUGUUGAUUUGCAAUGCAAUGGCAGACUUCCCUUUCCCUUUCCUUUUCAGGCCUAUAUGUUCAAAUGUGUCCUGAGCUGCUUUAAGUAUAUUAAAGCCAGCAAGAGAGAGGAGGUGAAAGUCGACCCACAAGCAGUUGAAAAGGCUGUGCUGCCGUCGUAUGAGGAAGCCUUAGAGUUGCCUUCCAAGGAAUCCCCACCACCCUAUGUAGCAAUCUAAGCUGCAUUCACGGAGAGAAGAUGACAUCUGUAUUGCUGUUGGUGCCUCUUACCCCUUCUCUGAUAGUCAGCCUCAUUGAGAAGUCUUUACUUUAUAGCGGUAUCCUGCUUUUUACAAUCCACCUUGCUUUAUGAGCCUACUAAGAGUAAUGGUGAACCACUGGAGUUGGCGCCUUGUUCUACACUGGCAGUUUUGACUUGGUACUACCAAGCUGCAGGGCUAAUUUUAAUAAACUUGGCAUCAGGCACCACAGAGUUUCCCAUCACUGGCCUCUGACAUCUGGCUAAUGUGAAGUGUAGGCACUGGCCUGAAUCCCUUGUCAGGCUUGCUUUAUGCCAGCAAGAUGCUGUUUCUCAUCUGUCUCACAUCUAACUCAGCAGCUGAGACAUUUAGGAAGUGGAAUGGGAGGAAAAUGGGCAAGAACCUUUUCACUGAGAUAGUGCCACCCUGAAGCUAUGCUAACUAGCACCUUUUAAUGAGAACUGUACAGGAAAGGGAUCAGCAAAAUAAUGAAGAUUUCAAAUGAACUAUGAUACAGCUCUCAUCCUGUCAGUUUAUGGUGAUGAUUAAUAGUGCGUACUCCAGAAUAUACAAUGUGCUGGAAUGUCACAGCUCUGCCAUUUUAUACCUGAGUGUUCGCAAUUUUUUGCUUUUAGUGUGACUUGAAAGAUGAGUUUCAAUUAAAAAAAACGUUAAUGGCUUCAAUAUUUUGCUGUCUGAUUUCUG
rnacentral:lncRNA from 1 species